AAAUGUUCGACACCAUCCGUACAAUACUUCUUGUGAAGGGGGAAUUGUGUGGUGCAUUCGGCAAGCAGUACUUCUUGGGCAUCGCUCUUGAAAGUACUCCUUGCCUAGACGAAAUAAUUGCUAAAUUUUACUCGGUAAGGUGCAAUUAUGGCCGUGAAUAUGUUGCUUCUCGAUGCGGCUACCAGUAUUUGUUGAUUGUCGAUGGCGACUGGAAGUAUCGUAUCGGAUGCCUAAUAGAGUGACAUGUCUUGGUUAUUAUGUGUUUU
rnacentral:misc_RNA from 1 species